CGGACGGGUGAGUAACGCGUGGAUAACCUGCCUCACACAGGGGGAUAACAGUUGGAAACGACUGCUAAUACCGCAUAAGCCCACGGGUCGGCAUCGACCUGAGGGAAAAGGAGCAAUCCGCUUUGAGAUGGCCUCGCGUCCGAUUAGCUAGUUGGUGAGGUAACGGCCCACCAAGGCGACGAUCGGUAGCCGGACUGCGAGGUUGAACGGCCACAUUGGGACUGAGACACGGCCCAG
rnacentral:rRNA from 1 species